rnacentral:piRNA from 1 species
UGUCACUAAAGACCAGGUAGCCUGGGAUGGA